rnacentral:lncRNA from 1 species
CAGGUUUGUAAGAAGCCUCGGAGCUUCACCCCUAGACGUAGGCUGCUUUUCUUAUACAGUAAGAUGGUUGUGGAUACUGGUCAGGAAGUGGCUAAUACCAUUUCUUAAAAACACUGUUUCUUCUUUUAUAUAUUGGACUGAAUUUCACCUCAGGCACAAAUGUAAUCCUGUUUUUUGCAGGGCUCUCCUGAAAUUUUGCCAGGAGUCAACAUAAAUUCAAGUAUAAAAAGAUACACUCCUCCUCUCGAUGAAUUUGAGAUUGAUCAUUGUGUUCUCAAGGAUGAGAACUCUGUUGUUUUCCCUGUGGUACCCGGCCCUUCAAUCUUUUUGGUCACAGCAGGCAAUGGAACAAUGAAGUCAGAAGCUGAAGAAAUAGUUUCUGAGGGCGAUGUGAUGUUCGCACCAGCCAACAGUCGUAUCUGUGUCACUGCUGCAUCGGAGUUGCAUCUGUACAGAGCCGGAGUGAAUAGCAGAUUUUUUAGGCUGGACUGACCAAUGCUUUCACCUGUGAUAUUAGUAGUCAUUUUAGCUUCAUAUGGUGUGAGAAUUAAUGCCGUGUCUGUAUGUUAGCAUAUUUAAAAGUAGUUUUUAAUAUAUAAUCCAGUACAAUAAGUUUAAGUAAUACAUCUAUGAGCUAUCUCUGUGCAUAUAUCCCUUCCUAAGUGAUGAAUAGUUGCAUAGGAGAUAUGCAGAUGCACUAGUGUCUGUAUCUGCAUAUGUUCCUGCAGGCUGAAACUAUUGAGUGUGCAACAUAGUUCAUCAAGUUAUUGGAUACCGUAAUAACUUAUAUUGAUGGCAUAAAGGUCUUGUGCCAAUUAUUGCCACAUUGUUGUUCUUCACAAGUUAUGCAAUUUUCACUUCCAGGCUGAUAUAUUUCUGGUGCCCCAGAUUGAUGCAGCAAUUAAAAGGUUCAACAUUGAUAUGGUAGGCUGUCUUCCUUCCUCAAACUUUGAAUAUCUAAUGGCCAGUGUGCUUUAGACUUUCCUUCAUCUAGGCAAGCUUAUGAUGUUAUUGCUGGUGACAGAUUAAAGUCCGAGUCAAGCAUGCAACCUGUCCGGUAAAAGUUAUACUCCCAAGAUUCAAGAAACACCUAAUAAUAUGGUAGUGCAGGCAGGCAUGUAGACUACAAUUAUAUCGGCAUUCUGUGAUUGUAAUUUUUAUUCUUUUUUCUUGAAGAAUAAAAAUGUAAAUGAUAAUAUUGCUUGAAUUGGUUCCUUUAAAGUCAGGGCAUUGCAUUUGUAACCCCGUAUGAAAUAGUACUACAAAUGCUGAUAAAAAAGUACUAGAAGCGCUGAUGAAAAGUUGCACAACCGUGCACCGCUUUGUUCUAAUUUAUUGAUGUUUGCUUCAGAAAAUGGUUGAUGGAGGAAUUGUUAAUAAUUGGAUGUGUGUGAACUUUGCACAAAAUGUUCAAGAUAAUUUGGCUAGCGGGUUUUGUUCAAAACUCGCAUAGAUGUGCACAAUAUCAGGUAUGGUAUAUACCGCAAGACCUCUUUGUCUUGAUGUUCUCUACAUAUUGUCAAGUAUAUGAUAUCAGACAAGAAGAUAUGGCUAGGAUAUCAGACAAAUAUAUAUGGCAAGGGAACAAGAAAAUCACAAGCAGAUAAGAGGACGUGACAAGAAAAUCUCAAGCAGAUAAGAGGACGUGACACGUGACAGGGAAUCUGGUAGCUUUGAAAGAAAUAGAGACAAGGGGAAUUUGAAAUAGUGGGAAAAGACUGCACCCAGAAAUAAUUCAUGUAGAAAAUCAUUAUUGAAAUACAUUAUUGUAAUACUGUAACAAAAACCUGGAUCUCUAUAUAAGAGACCUUAUUGUAAAUCAUCAGUUUUUGGAAUACAACAUCUUAAAUUUCUCUACAUUCAUUCUUCUUAUGGCAAGCUAAACCUCUUCUCCUACAGUCUACAACAGAUAAACAUGUUCAUCAAUAAGAUAUCAUAUACAAAUAUUAUCUAUUUAUCAUUACAUCAGGGACUCCGGUGAUCCAAUCUGUUUGAAUAGUUUGAUUUAUUUUGAUAAAUAAGAUAGGAUUUUUAUAUGAUAUUUAUAAUUCAUGUUAUGCAUGAUAUUGAUGAAGCAUGUUUAGAAGUUAUAGAUUGUAGAUUUUAUUUUAAACAUGUUUGUUUUUGUCGGAAUAUCUAAUUGCCUACCCUCUUUAGGGUUUAACAGAUAUGAGAAACGAUCCCCUAAUAUCUUGGACUGAACUAUAUUUUUCCUGUUUAGCGGUUCGAUCCCAAUCCAGUGCUUCCAGUUACCGGCGCACAGACUGAUCAGGUGGAGAGUGUGCUAAAAUCACGUUUUCAAGAGGUGCAGAAACUGAAGAAGGAGCUUGACCUAUUGAUUCUUAUUCUUCCAGAUAAUAAUGGCUCACUAUGGUAUGUAACCAUUUGAGAAAUUCUGAUUCUGAUAUUUGUAAUGGUCCAGUGCUUUUAUUGAAUGUCUGCGUAAUUGUCUGUCUGUGGUUUUGCUUGCAUUCACACUUCUGUGUAAUGGUAUCUGUCUCACUAAUCGCUGUUUAUGACUAUUCAUGAAGGCGAUCUAAAGAGAAUUUGUGAGACCGACCUUGGAAUAGUUUCACAUUGUUGCUUGACAAAACAUGUCUUCAAGAUGAGCAAGCAACACCUAGCGAAUAUGGCUUUAAAGAUAACGUCAAAGUUGGGGGAAGAAAUACAGUUCUUGUUGAUGCUUUAUCGAGGCGUAUUCCACUUGUCAGUGACCGGCCUACAAGCAUUUUUGGUGCCGAUGUCACCCAUCCUCAUCCUGGAGAAGAUUCCAGCCCCUUAAUUGCAGCAGUAUGAUAUAAAAUUUUAUAGAACUGCUUAUACAUACUUGAGUUAAUGUUUGUAUGUGUUAAUAUGAUUGCCUCUAUUUGACAGGAUUAUGUGUAUAUUAUUAAUUUCUUAUCAUCUAUUGUUGCUUAAAUUUGAUAUGAGAUUUGUUAUAUAAAUUUCAGGUCGUUGCUUCACAAGAUUGGCCAGAGAUAACAAAGUGUGCUGAAUUGGUUUGUGCUCAAGCCCAUAGACAAGAGCUUAUUCAGGAUCUGUACAANUUUAUUUCAGUCUUAGUUGCAUGGUCGGCCUCAAAGCCUACCACCAUCCUGUUUUGCUAGUUACACUAUUUUAUGGAUCGGGGAAUCAAGUUAGAUCUAUAAAUUGAGGUUUUCUAUUAGAAACAAAUGAUAUCUAACAAACACCUGAAUUUGUAUUAUAUGGCAAGUUAUCUGACAUGGUUUUUAUAUCUUGAACAAUGAACAUUAUAUUCUGUUUGUAGAUUGGUUUGAUAUGCUCCCAUUAGCUUUUACCCCUUAAAACGAUAUUUGCCUUUUAAAUACCUGGUUUUCGGUUGUAUCAGGCAAGGGAAUUAACUAGCAAAGAAGCACUAGUUUUGCGUCUGCAAAAGCAGUAUCCAGAUGAUAUUGGCAUCAUAGCGGCCCUGCUUUUUAAUUACAUUAAGCUUAAGCCUGGAGAAGCUUUGUAUCUGGGAGCAAACGAACCUCAUGCAUACAUAUUUGGUGAAUGCAUUGAGUGCAUGGCUACUUCAGAUAAUGUUGUACGAGCUGGGCUUACUCCAAAGAAGCGUGAUACUGAGAUCUUGUGUUCUAUGCUGACAUAUAAACAGGUUUGUAAGAAGCCUCGGAGCUUCACCCCUAGACGUAGGCUGCUUUUCUUAUACAGUAAGAUGGUUGUGGAUACUGGUCAGGAAGUGGCUAAUACCAUUUCUUAAAAACACUGUUUCUUCUUUUAUAUAUUGGACUGAAUUUCACCUCAGGCACAAAUGUAAUCCUGUUUUUUGCAGGGCUCUCCUGAAAUUUUGCCAGGAGUCAACAUAAAUUCAAGUAUAAAAAGAUACACUCCUCCUCUCGA